ACAUGCAAGUCGAACGGUAACAGGAAGCAGCUUGCUGCUUCGCUGACGAGUGGCGGACGGGUGAGUAAUGUCUGGGAAACUGCCUGAUGGAGGGGGAUAACUACUGGAAACGGUAGCUAAUACCGCAUAACGUCGCAAGACCAAAGAGGGGGACCUUCGGGCCUCUUGCCAUCGGAUGUGCCCAGAUGGGAUUAGCUAGUAGGUGGGGUAACGGCUCACCUAGGCGACGAUCCCUAGCUGGUCUGAGAGGAUGACCAGCCACACUGGAACUGAGACACGGUCCAGACUCCUACGGGAGGCAGCAGUGGGGAAUAUUGCACAAUGGGCGCAAGCCUGAUGCAGCCAUGCCGCGUGUAUGAAGAAGGCCUUCGGGUUGUAAAGUACUUUCAGCGGGGAGGAAGGCGAUAAGGUUAAUAACCUUGUCGAUUGACGUUACCCGCAGAAGAAGCACCGGCUAACUCCGUGCCAGCAGCCGCGGUAAUACGGAGGGUGCAAGCGUUAAUCGGAAUUACUGGGCGUAAAGCGCACGCAGGCGGUCUGUCAAGUCGGAUGUGAAAUCCCCGGGCUCAACCUGGGAACUGCAUUCGAAACUGGCAGGCUAGAGUCUUGUAGAGGGGGGUAGAAUUCCAGGUGUAGCGGUGAAAUGCGUAGAGAUCUGGAGGAAUACCGGUGGCGAAGGCGGCCCCCCUGGACAAAGACUGACGCUCAGGUGCGAAA
rnacentral:rRNA from 1 species